GCACCUCAGCUGACAAUCAAACCAGAGAACCUCUUGCUGUGAGGUGGAUAUUAAAAAAAAAAAAAGUAAAACAUGCUACAUUUAAUCGCAAUAAUCUUAGUAUUAGUGAACUAUAAUUUAAGACCACAGGCACUGUCAAAUAAAUAAAAAUGACAGAAAUUAAAAAAAAAUUGAGAAAAAUAAAUGGAAUGAAGUAAAAAUUGUCUAAACUAUACCUCAAACCUUAUUUCAUGGUUUGAAUUAUGUAGAAAACAGUUAAUACAAGUUCAACAGAAUGCCACAAAAAAGAAUUAUAUGUUAUUGAUAAUAGUUGAGAACUUUCAUCCCACAGUGCUUAGGACUUCAUUUGUGUUGUAUUUAAAUGUUAGAUUUUAACCAGCUGAGAUGAUAUUGGAGUUUAUUUCUAAGCAGUCCUAUGACUAUAAUUGAUUUGUUGACAUGAUUUUUCAUUUAAGUAUUUAAGCACUAUCAAAUUAUUUGCCUUUAGUUCUGGUGAAGUCCUAAGCAUUGUGGGAUGAAAGCACUUAACUGUUGUCCACAAAAUAUAGUGGUUUGUGGUGCCAUUCAGUUGAACUUGCACUAUUGUUCAUUUUUCAGUUGUAUAGUGGUAUUCUUUUUGUAAUUGCUAUGCCAUCACGAAAGAAUAUGUUACUGCAUGAUGCAUUGAUAUACAUGAUAGUAAAGAUUUUAAUAAGUUGUUAAAUCAGAAGAUAAACAUCUAGGUAAAUCAAUUUCAUUCAACAUUUCCUGCUUAUUUCCCUUUACCUAAUACCCCUUCCCCUUUAUUUAAAAAUAUCAUGAUUGGAUCAGACAUUUUUAAAAUUUUCAAUUUCUUCUUUUAUCUGUAGAUAUAUCUAUGUUUAGAAAUUACAGAAAAGUUAGUUUGAGGUUCUGAGUAAGUUAAAAGGUAGUUUAUUUAGGAUUCCCCAAUCAGACUCCGAAUCUAAGGUUUCCACGAUAAGCACGUGCUGCGAGUGCAAUUUGUGAAUGAAAUCUGCUUUAAACCACUUUCAAUGAAAUUAAAUGAUAGGCAUGCAGGAGGGGCUGUCCCUUCAAAAAAAAAAAAACUUUUUAAAGAUGACUUAGUUGCAAAAGAGCGGGAAACUGUAACCUCCGUGAUUGCUGUAGGUGGUUUUCAGCAGGUUUGAUUUCCACAACUGGUAUUCACACUAUCUACAGGAAAUCACCUUACUCCUGGAACCAAGAUGCUGAACCUCAACUAAAGUAUGAAGAAAUUGGGUUACUAUGUUACAGUUAAGAAAUAUUAAUGAUUUUAGAACAUGAUUCUUUUUAUUAAUUAUUCCUGUGCUUUUGGUACUCAGAUGUAUUGACAAUUUCUUAGUGACUGCAAAAAUUAAAAUUGACGCAGUUAAUGAGUUUAUGCCCACUACAUGAGCAUUAAAAUUGAUGCAGUUAGUGAGUUCAUGCUGAUUACAUGAUCACAAUACUGCUGUUUUUCAGGUGGUUGUAUAUUUGAAUCUCCCCUGUAUGAGGAAAUAUGAGGAAUGGGUAUAUAUAAGGAAAUAGCUGUUUGCCUUGCAACUAAUGACAAUAAUGAACUAAGCGAUGUUAUGCUUUGGAAGUAAUUCAAAUCAUACCUAUAAAGGAUUUGAAUAUAGUGCAAGCAGAUUUAAAUGCAACUAAAUGUCAAGUGUAAAAAGGAGGAUCUGUUUUUGUAGGCAUAAUUAAAACUCUAAAGAAAAUCGGCAAACCCUAAAUCUUGGAACAGUAUUAGCUUUUGAAAUGUUAAAUUACACUUGGUCUAGAACUCCUAACUUUUUUACAUAGAUUAGCAAAUAUAUCCAAUGUCUGAAUAAGAUGAAAUAUUUUCAUGACUGAAAGUAAUAGGCAAAUGACAGAUAUAGAAGGUAUUCUACUAGUUUCUACAAUAUUAUUGAAAUAGUAGCAAAGUAUAAAAUUAAAAAGGCCAAGAUUAUUUUGGUAAAGUGAGAGGUGGGCUGGGCAAGAGACCCUUUUUAACUGUGACCUGGGCUCAGAGGCAAUAAACAGUUCAAGCAAACUUAAGUUUUAUAUUUUAUAUAUAAUAGAGUUAGCUUUACAAUGUUGCAAAACUGUAGAAAGUCCAUAUACAAUUAUGCAGUUUUUACAAAGUAGAAUGUUGUACAGAUUUUAUACAUUUCUAAUGAAACCCAAUAUAAACCUACUUUGUCAGUAAUGUAAUACAAAUUGGCUACACAGAUUUGCUUCUUAAAAGUUUAAAAUUGAAUUUCUUAAUCAAAUGGAAGUGAGUAAAAAUAGAUAUUGUAGAGAGCCUAAGAAGAAAACACAAGUAAGAAUUUUAAAUAGAAAAAAUACAGAUAUCUUAGAACCAAUUAAUCAAUACAGAAGUGAAUACAAACCUUAGACAAUAAAGCAUCUGAUACAGAUGACAAUAGUAGCUGAGAUUCAUAUUUCAUCAAAAUAUUAUAUUUAGGUACAUCUGCUUAUGUGUGCAUAAUGAGCUUAAUUCAUUAAUAAGCCAAAUAUUAAAACAAAUAUCCAGCUUUACACAAUUAUUGUAGACUAAUUUAUUAAAACCAUAUAAAGUAUUUAUGCAAAUAUUAAUUAGUAUAUUAAAACUGGUGUCACCAUUUCUGAAAAAUGAUCAGUCAGGGUUCAUAAUUGGAAAGUGAAUGCAAGGCAACAUCAAUAGAAUAAUAACUUUAUAGCAUAACCAAUUAAACAUAUCUCAUCCACCAGCAGGUCAGAUACAGAAAAAAUCUUUUAAUGCUUUGAUUCAAAGUAUUUGUUUAAAAGUGGAAAUAUUCAGAAUUCCUAAAUGUCAUAAAUGUUUAUAUAACUUUAUACCUACCUUGUCUUGCUGUAUAAAUGUAAAAUCUGUGGAAAUUAUCAUUUGUUAGUGUUGAAAGUGAACUUCAAUCCUAAUCCAUUAUGCUGAUCUAUAAUAUACUAUUCAAACUCAAAAACAUGAAGUCUACAAACAAAAGAUUUGUAUAACAAA